CGCUCCGUCCUAGGGGAGUAGUCUCCCACGAGCGCCAUGCUCGUCCGGCACGUAUCAACAUACUUGGUCCUCAGACCAUGGUACGUGCGACCCGGAAUCCGCUCAGACGGAUCGGUGGUUUGACAAGACCUAUGACACGAACACCUUACCCGGGGCGGGGAGGUCGUACGUGUCAUAGCCGUGUCGACCCGCCC
rfam:Pseudomonas syringae pv. spinaceae strain ICMP16929 PspICMP16929_Contig_274, whole genome shotgun sequence.